rnacentral:rRNA from 1 species
GGGGAAUGCCAAACUGCAGUCGAGCGAGCUUGCCUAGAUGAUUUUAGUGCUUGCACUAAAUGAAACUAGAUACAAGCGAGCGGCGGACGGGUGAGUAACACGUGGGUAACCUGCCCAAGAGACUGGGAUAACACCUGGAAACAGAUGCUAAUACCGGAUAACAACACUAGACGCAUGUCUAGAGUUUGAAAGAUGGUUCUGCUAUCACUCUUGGAUGGACCUGCGGUGCAUUAGCUAGUUGGUAAGGUAACGGCUUACCAAGGCAAUGGUGCAUAGCCGAGUUGAGAGACUGAUCGGCCACAUUGGGACUGAGACACGGCCCAAACUCCUACGGGAGGCAGCAGUAGGGAAUCUUCCACAAUGGACGAAAGUCUGAUGGAGCAACGCCGCGUGAGUGAAGAAGGGUUUCGGCUCGUAAAGCUCUGUUGGUAGUGAAGAAAGAUAGAGGUAGUAACUGGCCUUUAUUUGACGGUAAUUACUUAGAAAGUCACGGCUAACUACGUGCCAGCAGCCGCGGUAAUACGUAGGUGGCAAGCGUUGUCCGGAUUUAUUGGGCGUAAAGCGAGUGCAGGCGGUUCAAUAAGUCUGAUGUGAAAGCCUUCGGCUCAACCGGAGAAUUGCAUCAGAAACUGUUGAACUUGAGUGCAGAAGAGGAGAGUGGAACUCCAUGUGUAGCGGUGGAAUGCGUAGAUAUAUGGAAGAACACCAGUGGCGAAGGCGGCUCUCUGGUCUGCAACUGACGCUGAGGCU